UACGGGGGGGGCAAGCGUUGUUCGGAAUUACUGGGCGUAAAGGGCUCGUAGGCGGCCUGCUAAGUCAGACGUGAAAUCCCCCGGCUUAACCGGGGAACUGCGUCUGAUACUGGAUGGCUUGAGUUUGGGAGAGGGAUGCGGAAUUCCAGGUGUAGCGGUGAAAUGCGUAGAUAUCUGGAGGAACACCGGUGGCGAAGGCGGCAUCCUGGACCAAUACUGACGCUGAGGAGCGAAAGCCAGGGGAGCAAACGGG
rnacentral:rRNA from 1 species